rnacentral:lncRNA from 1 species
AGGGAGCAGGUACUAUAUAAUGUGCUACUUGAAGAAGACAGAUUGGUACCUAUGCUAAAAGAUAGAAGAGCUUAGACAAUGUCCACAAGACCACGUAG